UACAGAGGGUGCAAGCGUUAAUCGGAAUUACUGGGCGUAAAGCGUGCGUAGACGGUUGCGUAAGUCAGAUGUGAAAGCCCCGGGCUCAACCUGGGAAUUGCAUUUGAGACUGCGUAGCUAGGGUGCGGAAGAGGGAAGCGGAAUUUCCGGUGUAGCGGUGAAAUGCGUAGAUAUCGGAAGGAACACCAGUGGCGAAAGCGGCUUCCUGGUCCAGCACCGACGUUCAGGCACGAAAGCGUGGGAGCAAACAGG
rnacentral:rRNA from 1 species